AUAACAUUCGGACAGUCGGUCUCCCGAGCAAUUUUACACGUUCUGUGGAAGAUCUUCCCUUUGUCGA
rnacentral:pre_miRNA from 1 species